GUGGGGAAUCUUAGACAAUGGGCGCAAGCCUGAUCUAGCCAUGCCGCGUGAGCGAUGAAGGCCUUAGGGUUGUAAAGCUCUUUCAGGGGGGAAGAUAAUGACGGUACCCCCAGAAGAAGCCCCGGCUAACUCCGUGCCAGCAGCCGCGGUAAUACGGAGGGGGCUAGCGUUGUUCGGAAUUACUGGGCGUAAAGCGCACGUAGGCGGACCAGAAAGUCAGGGGUGAAAUCCCGGGGCUCAACCCCGGAACUGCCUUUGAAACUCCUGGUCUUGAGGUCGAGAGAGGUGAGUGGAAUUCCGAGUGUAGAGGUGAAAUUCGUAGAUAUUCGGAGGAACACCAGUGGCGAAGGCGGCUCACUGGCUCGAUACUGACGCUGAGGUGCGAAAGCGUGGGGAGCAAACAGGAUUAGAAACCCCGGUAGUCC
rnacentral:rRNA from 1 species